rnacentral:rRNA from 1 species
CCUACGGGUGGCAGCAGUGAGGAAUAUUGGUCAAUGGACGAGAGUCUGAACCAGCCAAGUAGCGUGAAGGAUGACUGCCCUAUGGGUUGUAAACUUCUUUUAUAUGGGAAUAAAACGUUCCACGUGUGGGAUUUUGUAUGUACCAUAUGAAUACGGAUCGGCUAACUCCGUGCCAGCAGCCGCGGUAAUACGGAGGAUCCGAGCGUUAUCCGGAUUUAUUGGGUUUAAAGGGAGCGUAGGUGGAUUGUUAAGUCAGUUGUGAAAGUUUGCGGCUCAACCGUAAAAUUGCAGUUGAAACUGGCAGUCUUGAGUACAGGAGAGGUGGGCGGAAUUCGUGGUGUAGCGGUGAAAUGCUUAGAGAUCACGAAGAACACCGAUUGCGAAGGCAGUUCACUGGACUGCAACUGACACUGAGGCUCGAAAGUGUGGGUAUCAAACAGGAUUAGAUACCCCAGUAGUC